GAUGAAGAACGCAGCGAAAUGCGAUAAGAAUGCGAAUUGCAGAAUUUCCGUGAGUCAUCGAAUCUUUGAACGCACAUUGCGCCCACUGGUAUUCCGGUGGGCAUGCCUGUUCGAGCGUCAUUAUCCUCCCUCAAACCCCGGGUUUGGUGUUGGACCCAAGUUGUGUGAACAACUGGUCUCAAAGACAAUGACGGCGUCCGUGGGACCCUCGGUGCAACGAGCUUUUAGGAGCACGCAUCGAGUUGCAAGGACCUUCCGGGCCGGUCUCCUUUACCAUUUUACAAGGUUGACCUCGGAUCAGGUAGGAAUACCCGCUGAACUUAAGCAUAUCAAUAAGCGGAGGA
rnacentral:misc_RNA from 1 species